GACAGAGAGGGCAAGCGUUGCUCGGAAUUACUGGGCGUAAAGGGCGCGUAGGCGGGAUGGCAAGUCGGUCGUGAAAUCCCUCGGCUCAACUGAGGAUCGUCGAUCGAUACUGCCGUUCUUGAGGAUUGCAGAGGAGACUGGAAUUCCCGGUGUAGCGGUGAAAUGUGUAGAGAUCGGGAGGAACACCGGUGGCGAAGGCGGGUCUCUGGGCAAUUCCUGACGCUGAGGCGCGAAAGCGUGGGGAGCAAACGGG
rnacentral:rRNA from 1 species